CACUGAAAUAACUAAAGAAUGUAUAUUUUACGAUAAAAAUAUAAAAAUAUCUUGGAUCGUUGAAAAAAUCUAUAGUAGUUUAUGUUUGAUCAAUAAAGUGAUCACGAAGUGUCACUUUGAGUGAGAGUGGACGUUCUUAUCAGCGAUAUCAGUGGACAGCAAAGGCAACAUAACGAGAAAGAUUGUCAAUGAGUGAGUUGAACAAUGAUUAGUAUCAGGAAGCCAUAACGCUUUUAAAGUUUCACGUUCUUGAAAUAUUAGUAAUCAUUGGAAUUUUCUCGAGUCAAUACCAAUUAUGUCGAUGACAGUCUAUUUAUUGGAAUAUAGUGCUGAGAUUUGCGCGAAUUGUAAAACGUGAAAUUUAUAUUUAUUGUGUUUAUUGAAGGAAAAAAAAAGAAAGAAAGAAAAACAAAACACAUUGAUUGGAUCUAACGAUCGAGUUAUGAAGAUAGCAAGUUGAAAGAGAUGAUAUCAAAAAAACGUUUACAAUUAUUGCUUUACAUUUUACGAAUUUUUUACGUAUUCGGAGAGGAGGAUACACAUGAAAGAAAUGCAAAUUCUGGAAUAAUAUCGAAUGUUAUUCAAGAAUACUCUUCCUUCGAUAAGGACGAAAAUUUAUCUAAUAAUAAAACGGAAGGAGACAUUAAUGCGUUUACAAAAAGUUCCAUUCCAUCCGAAAAAUACGAAGACGUGGAAUACGAUGAAUGGAAUUUUUUACAAAAAUUUAAUAACGAUUUAUUUGAAACUCGUUUCGAUCUGUGCGAACAAUCAAACGUGUCAAAUAGAAUGGUUUUAGAAAUUGAAGAAGUAACGCGUUUGAAGGUAGAAACAGUUGAUACUGAAAGAAUAUUAAUUUCUUGGAUGGCGCCAUGUUCACCUAUAAACAAUAUUCUUAUUAAUUAUACUGUUGAAACAUAUUCAAAUGAUGAAAUUAAACAAUCGAAAGAUAUAACAAGUACGUUAUCCUAUAUAACAUACAACAUUACCGGACUUAAUCCAUGUACAUCUUACACGUUUAAGGUGUUUGUAAUCGCAGGAAAUAAUAAAUCAAAUGGUGUUAAUAUAACGAUAGAGACGAGUUCUAAUCUUACUUAUAUCGAAGGGGUCAAAAAUUUACGUACUAAUGAAUUUAAUAAUGUUGAAAUAAAAGAUAUGAACGAUAUUGGCGUGAAAUUGACAUGGGAUCCUCCCGAAAAAUAUAUUAAAUGUAUUGAUUAUUAUAAGGUCAUACAAUGCAUUAAAAACUCUUGCAAUGAAAAUAAUACAAAAGUUAAUGUUACAAAUACUACAAGCUAUAUUACAUCGGGUCUUGAACCUUGUACAGAAUAUAUUUAUACUAUUAAAAUAAUAUCUUCAUCAUCUACAGAAUCAACUGGAACAAGUAUAUCACACGUGACAAGAAUAAUAACACCAAGUGAACCACAGUCAUUGAAAGCAGAACCUGGUGAUUUUGCUUUAAGAAUUCACUGGCUACCACCAAUGAUUGGCAAUCAAUGUGUCCAAAAAUAUUGUAUUACAAUAUCUAACAUGUGGUUAUAUUUUUAUAACAUGUGUACCACAAAUACAUCGGUAGUUAUAAAAGAUUUGCAUGCUUGUACUUCCUACAUAAUUCAUGUUAUUCCAGUUAAUAAAUUAUCUUUAAAUGGAACAUUAGCUACUAUAGAGGGAAAAACAGAUAAAAGUAUAACAGAAUCUCCUAUAUUACAUGCAAAUAAAUGUGGGAUCUAUAAUAUAUCAAUGACAUGGUGUAUUAAAAAGGUAUCAAACAAUAAUUGUACUUUGGAAUCUUUAAUAGUUAUGUGUAAUUAUGUGAAAAUCAAUGGGCAUGGUUAUACACCAAAAUCAGGGGAAAUUAAGAAAAGCUUGAAUAAACGUAUAAUAUUACCUAUGUCUGAAAAUAUAACUGUGACAGAUCUUAGCCCUUAUACAACAUAUUCAUGCCAGGGAAUUAUUGUCAAUGAGGCAGGAAACAGUUCAUUAAGUGAACCAGUAAAUGUUACAACGUUAGAAGAUAUACCAUCUCCACCCAUUCUUAAUGUAGAAAAUAUAACAGAUACUCAAUUUACUUUUGUUUGGAAGAAUCCUAAAUGUCUACCAGGAAUAGUGACACAGUUUGAAAUAAUAAUUACAUGGAAUACACUUUUUGAAAGACCAGACUGGUGUACUAAUGAUAUUUUUGGCAAUGUUACCAUUAGGAAUAUUACUAAUUCAUCAUUUAAAUAUUUAGAAGGAAAACCAUAUACAAAUUAUACUGCAAGUAUUAAAGCUAGAACUGCUGCAGGUUGGAGUAAUGAUAGUACAUUGAUAACAUUUCUAACAUUACCAAAAGUUCCAGGAAUCGUUUCUAAUAUUUCAUGUGUUAUUAAAGAAAAUGAAAAUAAUGUUGUUAAUCUAACGUGGGGUUUACCAUGCCCCUUAAAUGGAAAAAUUGAGUCUUUCUCUGUGUUGGUGCAUGGUACAAGAAAGGGUUAUAAUCCACAUACUUUUUCUGUUAAGAAAAAUUAUAGUAAUAUUGUUGAGAAAACUUAUUCAAUGUAUCUUUCACCACUAAAACCAGAAUAUAAUUAUACAUUUAAUAUAUCAGCUAAAGUUAGUGAUGUUGAAACUUGGGGUUUAUCAGCAAGUUGUGAUAUUUCAUAUCCUGCUGAGAUUCCACCAGAACUUAAUGAAGAAUAUAUAAAAUCAAUUAGCAUAGAUCCAUAUAAAGCACGCAGAUCUACUACAUCAGUCACCAUUUUGCUUCCAUUAUUUUCUGAUGAUAAUGGUACAAUUAAAUAUUAUGCUAUUAUGAUUUCAAGAAAAGGAUUCAAUGUUGGUUCAAAGACUAAAUUUAAAGUGACUGAGCAGACAUGGCCAAAUACUUCAUCAUGGGAGGAAUCCAUGAAUAAUGAUUUCUCUAUAGUUUAUCAAGCUACUGGAUCACAUUGGUCUCCUUUUCCAAAUUACGUUGUUAACUACGGACACAUAAAAGCAGUAAAGUAUGUACUUGGUGAAGAUACAGCUUGUAAAGAAAUAUCAUCUAAUACGGAUGAACAAUUGUAUUGUAAUGGGCCACUUAAAUCAGAUACAUGGUAUGAUGUUAGAAUGCGUGCAUUUACCUCCGAAGGUUUCAGGGAUUCGCCUGUUUUUUCGAUAAAAACAAAUGCAGAGUUGAACGUUGGCGUUGUAAUUGGAAUUGUGCUUGGAAUUUUAUUCUUGGGAAUUUUGACAACAAUGAUGCUUCUUGUACGAAGAUGUUCUCCGUAUACAAUAUUUCGUCAAGUUUUAAAUUCUGAUAUGCCUGGGUCACCAUUACCUACCCCAUUUACAAGAAAAAAAUUUCUUGCACAUUGCCAAGAACUUAUUGACAAUCCUGGUAAAUUAAGCAAUGAAUUUAGGUUGCUUCAAACUUUAAGCGUGGAUCUGCAAAUGCCAACAAAUACUGCUUGUUUGCAAGCUAAUAGAAAAAAAAAUCGAUAUUCAGACAUUCUACCAUAUGAUUUCUCAAGAGUAAAAUUAGAAGUAAUUGAUAAUGAUCCUAACACCGAUUAUAUUAAUGCUUCAUUUAUAAAAGGUUAUAGUGGGGAGGAUGAAUAUAUAGCUUGUCAAGGACCGAAAGAAGAUACAAUAUACGAUUUUUGGAGAAUGAUAGAUCAAUAUGAAAUAAAUAUUAUCGUUAUGUUAACUCAACUAGUUGAGAAGGGUAAAAUAAAAUGUCAUCAAUAUUAUCCAACAAUUAGAGAAACUUUUGGAUAUGAAAAUAUAACUAUACGAUGUACAAGCGAAUUAGAUUUUAGAACAUACACUCAAAGAACAUUAAUAUUACAAAAGGAAAAUAAAAAAAAAACGAUAACACAUCUCCAUUUUAAAGAUUGGCCAGAUCAUGAUGUUCCAGAGGAUUUUGAUUCAAUGAUUAAUUUUUGUCAAAUUAUGCGUCGUAAUAUAGGCACUAAUAAAGGUUUUGUUGUUAUUCACUGCAGUGCAGGAAUUGGUAGAACAGGUACCUUAAUAGCAAUUGAUAUACUUUUACAAUAUCUUAGAGAUAAUAGAAAAUUAGAUGUAUUUGGAACAGUCUAUAGAUUAAGACAUCAUAGAAUAAAUAUGGUUCAAAGAGAGAGUCAAUAUACCUACAUAUAUAAUUGUAUAAUGCAGGUGCUUAAAAAUCCAUAUUUUUUGAAAACAUAUAAACCACCUCCUGUGGAUCCAAUGUAUGAUAAUAACUCCAAAAGUGCGAGUGAGACAACUAAUUCGGAUGGCAGCCUUACAGUAAAUCUUGAAACAUGUAUGUGACUUUCUCACAUAUGUAGAUUGCAACAAAUAUUUUAUUUGCUAUUAUGAAACUAUUAUUCAGACCAUAUUUAUAUUAUAUACUACCGAAGAAAAACAAAUUAACUUAAUUUUUUUAAUACUGAUAAUGGAUCUUAUUUAGGAGAUUGCAAUAUUUACUUUAUUCUUGCAUAUCAGCAAAUAUGCCUUGUCAAUGUUUGACUUAAUGAACACAAAAUUGAUCAAAACAAUUGUGUAAUGAAUUUAAUAAGCAGAAUAUGAAUUAUAUACAACUCAGAAAGACAAAUUUUUAUAAAAUUACAAUUUUACAAACCAAAAACAUUAUAAUAAUGAGACUAAAAGAGACAUGUUUAAGCAUAAUCUAUAAAGCAAAUGUGGGAAAAUUAUUUUAAUUCUUUGAUUAAUCCUUUAAUGUACAUAUUGUAAACUAGCAAUCAAUGACAUUUAUAAUAUUAAAAGCAUGCUUUAUCACAUAUACAGACUACUUAUAAGGAAUUAUUUAUAAGGAAAUACUUAAGGUAAUUGAUUGUAAUUGUAUCUAU